rnacentral:rRNA from 1 species
UGGGGAAUAUUGCACAAUGGGCGCAAGCCUGAUGCAGCCAUGCCGCGUGUGUGAAGAAGGCCUUCGGGUUGUAAAGCACUUUCAGCGAGGAGGAAGGUGGUGAGCUUAAUACGCUCAUCAAUUAACGUUACUCGCAGAAGAAGCACCGGCUAACUCCGUGCCAGCAGCCGCGGUAAUACGGAGGGUGCAAGCGUUAAUCGGAAUUACUGGGCGUAAAGCGCACGCAGGCGGUUUGUUAAGUCAGAUGUGAAAUCCCCGGGCUCAACCUGGGAACUGCAUUUGAAACUGGCAAGCUAGAGUCUCGUAGAGGGGGGUAGAAUUCCAGGUGUAGCGGUGAAAUGCGUAGAGAUCUGGAGGAAUACCGGUGGCGAAGGCGGCCCCCUGGACGAAGACUGACGCUCAGGUGCGAAAGCGUGGGGCAGCAAACAGGAUUAGAUACCCUGGUAGUCCACGCUGUAAAACGAUGUCGAUUUUGGAGGUUGUGCCCUUGAGGCGUGGCUUCCGGAGCUAACGCGUUAAAUCGACCGCCUGGGGAGUACGGCCGCAAGGUU